AUCUCUGCCCUGUCCAAGAGAAGAGGGGCAGAGACUCUGAGGGGCGGCAGGAUGACACGGCGAGACACAGCUGCGUGGGCACGGACCGGAGCACCAUGGCAGCAGGUGUGCUGGAAUUUACCAAGGCCUUCCAAGUCCACGUCACUGCCAUCUGAGCGGAGGCUUGAAGCAGAUUUGAAGAACGGCAUCUUCGGUUUCUUCCUGCUGGUGGAAAAAAAUGAUAAAACAAAGUGGGAGGCUAGCAGCGGCCAACCAGAUGUCUAUGGGAAGUCUGAAAGCAGGACUUGAGUCCAACAGCACUCUCCCUCUCCAGCUGCCUUCAUCAGUGGAGAGAGAACAUACUGUAGCCAUUGAUCUAUUGUGGGGCAUUGGAUCUGGUCACCUCUCCUGAAAAAGGAUAUUGUAGAGUUGGAAAAAAAUUCAGAACAGGGCAACCAAAAUAAUCAAGGGAAUGAAGCAACUCCCCUAUGAGGAGGAAAGGUUACAACAUUUGGGGCUUUUUAGUUCAUAGGAAAGAUCACCUAUUUAUUGAGCACUCAUGCUGAUUUGUGUUAUUGAAUCUUGAAGUGCCCAUCCUACAGUCCAGUUUCUCACCUCAAGGAUGUGUCCUUGGGUUCCACCUGAUUUUGGUGCCCCAUUGUGGAAGUUGUUAAUGUGAGGCAGAGAAGUAUCAGACCUGGAUAAAAUGACCCAGUGGUGAAAGAGAGGCUCCAAGGUUGAAUAUGAUUGCAGUACUUCAUUAAAGAUUAAACGGAGACCAGGUUUUCCUCUCCUUCUACAAGUAGCAUAGCAAAAGAAGGAAGAUGGAGUUGUCUGUCCACAGUUACUACAGGUAUGGACAGUUAUUAUAUACUUUUAAGCUUUGUACAGGAAUGCCAGAGUGUACCUCUUUGCCUUUUGGGACUUUUUGGCCCCUCUUUACAUUUCUGACCCCUCUGUGGGUGCUUCCAGACUGUCGUUAAAACGAAAUUCAAUCACAAAUUCAGGUUGUGUAUUUAUAGCUGAAUGAGAGGUCCUGUGCAGCUUCUUUGAGUCCAAUCCCCCCACCUUUUCUUUCCAGUAAGGUGAAAGGGAAACGUACUGGAAAGUGUGGGAUAACACUUGUUUUUGCACAAUGGUCAUCCAACCUCUCCUCCAUUUAACUUCCCUGCAAACAAAUCGGGAUGAAUGUCCAAAAGCUGGUCUGGCAAGUCCACACAGAGGAUAAUUCUGAAGAUAAUUCAUUUGAAGAAGUGGGUUCCAGUCCACGAAAGUGCAUGUCACAGUAAACUUGUUGUGCGACGUGUGUGU